AAAUUGAAGAGUUUGAUCAUGGCUCAGAUUGAACGCUGGCGGCAGGCCUAACACAUGCAAGUCGAACGGUAACAGGAAGCAGCUUGCUGCUUUGCUGACGAGUGGCGGACGGGUGAGUAAUGUCUGGGAAACUGCCUGAUGGAGGGGGAUAACUACUGGAAACGGUGGCUAAUACCGCAUAACGUCGCAAGACCAAAAAGGGGGACCUUCGGGCCUCUUGCCAUCAGAUGUGCCCAGAUGGGAUUAGCUUGUUGGUGAGGUAACGGCUCACCAAGGCGACGAUCCCUAGCUGGUCUGAGAGGAUGACCAGCCACACUGGAACUGAGACACGGUCCAGACUCCUACGGGAGGCAGCAGUGGGGAAUAUUGCACAAUGGGCGCAAGCCUGAUGCAGCCAUGCCGCGUGUAUGAAGAAGGCCUUCGGGUUGUAAAGUACUUUCAGCGGGGAGGAAGGUGUUG
rnacentral:rRNA from 3 species